CUCUCUCUCGGCCACUGGGCUACCCUUGCAUCGCAGCAAAGGGAGCUACUGAUGCUGCCGCGUCGGUGGGGAGAUCACAGAGGAGGAUGUCACUGAAAGGUGAGCCUCGAGAGGCGAGUGUGAUCGUGGACAAGAGGGGAAGGUGAGUGAUUUCAUCACCACGACAUACGAGGGAAGGCUGUUGGAUCUGGAACCUGGAGAGCAGGAGCCCUGGCUGCUUUCCUCUGUGUCCCCAUCACUCAGAGGAACAGGAGCCUUGGAAUGAGGUCUGGGCACAGAGGUGGACAGAGCAGGCUCCCGCAGAAGACAGACCCGAUCCAGGCAAGGCGCUGCCCCUUUCUGCAGGUUGGCACAAUAGAAAUCGAGAUGCUUCCAUGAAGCCCGGCUACAGCCUGCCGCCUGAGGACCACAGCUGAUGGGGUGCAGGCCCAGGCCUCUCAGGACGUGACAGGCUGAAACCGUCACCUGUGCGGCCUUCCGGAGGCCACAGAAGCGAGGAGAAGGCCUGGCUUUGCAUCUGGGCUCUAGCACUCACCAGCUGCGAGGCCUUGCACUACGACUGCCACCACAAGCCUCUUCUCCGUCAGGCACACAAGGCCAGCAACCACCCUCCGGGCCAGCCUUCCUGGGGGCUAGGGAAACCGGUGAAAGGGCUUUGAGACUUGGACGUGAGGUGUCCUAUUAAUCAGCGAUAGCAAACCCCAUUUGACAAAGAGCACGAGGGCCACGCCGUUAGAGUUGGGCUUGAGUCUGCUGCAGCGGGGGGCGGGGGGAGGAGGGCUGCACCUGGGCAGCGGUGGCCUCCUGCCAGGAGGGUGCUGAACCAACUGAGGAUUUGGGGUAAGAGCAGGAUACAGGAACAAGUUUGGAUGGAGUGUUGGACACAGUCAAGACAGAGCAAGGCUGCAGGCAAAGGCGGUCUGUGUUGAGAGGUGGGCCCAGGUCGUUUCCUUAGAAACCACAAGGGUAAGAUCGAGUGGGAUGUUGUGUCUGAAAACCCCUUACCCAGAGCUCCGCCCUGUGGGAGCUAGGGACCCGUUCUCUGAGCCACCGGGAGCCCUGGCUGGGGUUCUCCCGCGGUGACUGGAACGUCUCGUUUCUGGCCCUUUGAUUUGAGGGCCCAUCUCUCAGCACCAUUCCCUGGCUGUUCCUACAGACGGCUGUCCUGCAGCAUGGGUGCCUUUCGGCGCUGCACAGGCUGAGCCGUGGCUGGAACCAGAAAGCCCGGCCCUGAGCCCCGGCUCUGCCACCUCCUGGCUCUGUGAUCUUUGCUCACAUACCUUCUCAGAACCUGUUUGGGGACAAGUACAGAUUCACAAUCCCUAAUCAGCAACUUCAAAAUCUCAAAAGCAAUGAACGCCAAAAGAUUUUUGUAACUAAUGUGGCUGUAAAACCUGUCUUGACCUAAUUCAUUUGGUGACAAAACCUGCCUGAACUGCCAUGAGUCUAUUUUUGUCUCCAUUAAUUCCACAACGUGUGAAU